CCUACGGGAGGCAGCAGUGGGGAAUAUUGGACAAUGGGCGAAAGCCUGAUCCAGCCAUGCCGCGUGUGUGAAGAAGGCCUUCGGGUUGUAAAGCACUUUCAGUGGGGAAGAAAGCCUUGGGGCUAAUACCCUCGAGGAAGGACAUCACCCACAGAAGAAGCACCGGCUAACUCCGUGCCAGCAGCCGCGGUAAUACGGAGGGUGCGAGCGUUAAUCGGAAUUACUGGGCGUAAAGCGCGCGUAGGCGGUCUGAUAAGCCGGUUGUGAAAGCCCCGGGCUCAACCUGGGAACGGCAUCCGGAACGGCAAGGCUAGAGGGGGGGAGAGGAAGGUAGAAUUCCCGGUGUAGCGGUGAAAUGCGUAGAGAUCGGGAGGAAGACCAGUGGCGAAGGCGGCCUUCUGGACUGACACUGACGCUGAGGUGCGAAAGCGUGGGUAGCAAACAGGAUUAGAUACCCGAGUAGUC
rnacentral:rRNA from 1 species